GCAGGAAUCAAAUCUCACGAGGGAACAUUCGAAGGCGAGCGACUCUCUCCUAAGAAAUGUAAUCGACGGUGGUUGAUGAUUGGUGAUCGGCAAUCGACAAUGGCUGAUGUUGGCAAUCGACGACCGACAAGCAUCAUCUCCCCUUCGAUGACAUAUCUUAUGCUUAGAAGGGGAGGAGGAACAUGACAUCUCUUACUCCAGGGGUACUAAUAGAGGUUCUGAAGAACUUAACUACUGACAUAAAAAUAUGUAGAGAAUACUGGUCAGUGCUUCUUCAAGUAAUCAACAUUGUGCCUGCUUUGUCUGGCUCAGAGCUUUAGCCAGACCAUGGUUUCUUCAUAAAGAUCUCUGAUCAUUCACAUUCCACAUAUGUUUCAUUAUCUAAAGAUGACAAUGACUUGAGCUUAAUGAACAAGCUUUAGCUUUUGGGCAAUUCAUCUAUAUUUACAAGGAAGAGUUGUGGAUGCCAUCCCAUGGGACUCUCCUCCUGCCAGCCUAAUCAACCCUGGGAAGCUUCUUGGCUAUCUAAUCUAAGACAACUUUUUGGCCAAGAGCAAGCAGUAUAAGAAGAAGAUGAGAAAGGGAAGAAAGCCUCGAUGAUCCUUCUCCAACAACAACUGAGAUCAACAAGUAAGGAUUACUCUACUUUCAACCAACUUAUGAUAGAAUUCUACAACACAGAACCAUCAUAAAAUCAACAACUUUAUCGUCCAACUUCAUCUUUGUCAGAAUCAACUCCUGCCCUUAGCAAAGAAGGGUGUUGUUAGGAUUGGUGAGAGGAGAAAAAAUAAAGAACCAACAACAAGCGUUUUGUUGUGAUCUGUUCAUAUUUCUGGUGCCAGAACUUCUGAGCGAUUAUCGCUCGAGAUUUUUUUUGUUUUAAUUCUCUAUUUUAAGUACUUUAAAUUCAUGAUAUGAGUGGAUUAAUUCUCCUUU